UGUGCUUCAAUUAGGAUUGCCUUUGCACCUAGAGUCUCUUCAAAAGGUAACCUCGUAACAAGAAUAACAAGUUCCCUCAUGUACUUGCUUUUCCCUUGACCUGAUGCACAUUUGUGCACAUUCCUUCUUCCUCACCACAAUGAUGCCAAUGCAAGGCAAGCGGUAUGCCCAUUUUAUAGAUGAAGACACUGAGGCUGAAAUAUAAGCAACUUCCCCAAGGACCUGCAGACAUUAAGCAUGCAACCAGGACAAAUCUCAAAUGCACUGUGCUAAAUGGAAGAAGCCAGACUCAGAAGGCCACAUCUGGUGGCCAAGGACCAAAGGAGAGCAUGACAUUGUUUGGUUGUGGGUUGGGGCCACUCUCUGCCUAAAUUCUCCACUGACCCUGUUGCCUAUACCCUGAGAGGACCCUAUGGAACCAGACUGGAUGGAGCAGAGCUGGCUUCUGGUCCCAGCUCCAUCAACCCAAAGGAUCCUAACAAAUCAAGUAAACAACCUCCAAAUGAGUGUUGGUCAAGGAUUAGGCCACUGCUCUGCCAUUUCAUAGCUGUCUGACCUUGGGAAAGUUCAACUUCUCUGAGCCAUCUGUAAAAUGAGAGCUUGGAAUAGAAGAUCUUAAGUUCCCUUCCAGGUCACACGUGACAUUCUCUAAUUUUUCAACCUCACACUCUUCUAAGAUUCUACUUUCUCAGUUAUUAAAACAAACCAACAAACAAAUAAACGAAUAACAGCCAGUACCCACUUCCUGUAAAUAUCCCAGAAACUUGAGUGUACAUUAGCAAAGGGCACCCAUGAUAUUUAUUUUGCUCCUUAAAGAAAGCCGACUGCAAGUCUACUGUGACACUGAUGGGCAGAAAUAAGAGCAGCAUGUAGGGAGUGUUACAGCUCUAUUAUGUUUAGAUGUCCCAUACGUUUGAGGCCUUGCCAUGUAUUGAGCAAAUCAAAUGUCAGAACGCAUGGUGUUGGUAUGGAAACACUUAUACGGGAAUGAUUUUAUUAAUCUGAUGCUGUGCUAGAAUCUUAAAAUUUGUUAAUCCCUCCCAUGGUGGCAAUAACAACAAUACUGAUAAUAAUAACAACUAACAUUUAUUGCUUACAAUACGGCAGGCACAGUUUAGCCACUUUAUAUGUAUUAGUUGAUUCAAUCUUCACAACAUUUCUGUGAGGGGGUACUUCUCUGAUCCCCAUUUUCGAAUGAAGAAUGGUAGCGGCAAAAGUCUAUUGAGGACCUACUACGUGCUCAGCGUAGGUGUGUUAGUCAGUGCAAAUCUACUAAGCAGUGUACAUAAAUGAUCACAUUUAAUCCAAUACAUAACCUAUGAGAUAGCUCCACCCUGAGCCCCAUGUCUAGGUGAGAAAACGAAGGCGCAGAGUUCAGGCAACGGACCUGAGCUUAUCCACCUGGAAAAGAACUACGUAUCUCCAGAGCACGUGCUCUCGGCCUCCGCGCUGCGCUGCCUCCUCGUGGAGGACGUCAGUACAUACUGAUGACGAUUUGACUCCCAGCGCACCAGCACCAGACUUUUCCUGGUGGUGGUGACCCAGAUGUCUGAAACAAAACAGGCUCAACUGAAGGACCAUGAGAAAUUUUGAUCGCUGGGGAGAAAAAAUUCCUAGAAAGAAGCAAAUGGUCCCUCCCUUUCCUCAUCUUCCUGUUGAAAAGCCUGGAGCACUUCCCAGCAAACUCAGACCAGAAAGGAAAUACAGAGAUUGAAACAGUACUCACAUUUUUCAAAGAUACAAUGAAAAUAAUAUUACUUGAAUAUCAAAAGGCUAUCUAUCUGUCCCUUAUUCUCCUCUCAGCAUUAGGUGCAGCCAAGACCACACCUGAAAGAAAAGCAAGUCCACGUGGAGGAAAGGAAACAAUUAGCAAACUGAAGACAACCUACAGGAUGGGAGAAAAUAUUUGCAAACUAUAUCCCUGAUAGGGCUUAACAUCCAAAACAGACAAGGAACUUGUACAACUCAAUAAUUGCACAAAAAUAAAAACCCUCAAAAAAUGAGUCAAGGGCCUGAAUAGACAUUUUCCCAAAGAAGAUAUACAAAUGUCCAACAGGCAUAUGAAAAAGUGCUCAAUAUCACUAACUAUCUGGCAGAUGCAAACCAAAACUACAGCAAAAUAUACCUCAUACCUGUUGCCAUGGCUUUUAUCAAAGACAAGAGAUAACAAGUGUUGGUGAGGAUGUG